rnacentral:rRNA from 1 species
GAAGGAAAGUUGCAAAGCACUCCGAAGAGAGAGUUAAAGAGGACGUGAAACCGAUACGAUGGAAGCGUACAAAGCCAGUCGCAGUUUCAUUUUUUUUAAAAAUGUUUCUAAGCAUGAGAACUUUGAUUGAUCAAUUGUAAGGGUAUUUAGGUCGGCAAUCUCGAUUGUUAGUUAAAUAUCAAUAACUCUUGAUUUUGAUUAAAGCAUCAUUCAUCUGGUGAUGAUUAAUUGAAAUUUAUGUCUUUUCUUGUAUUGCACAUGUGUAAUGCUUUUUAAAAUAUGAAUGAAGGUUAAUUUAUCCAGGUUAAUUCUUAUGUAGUCCUGGUAUGUUGUACGUCCCGUCUUGAAACACGGACCAAGGAGUGUAUUACUAAAGCGAGUCAUUGACUAUUUAUACAGUCAUAGGCGUAUUGAAAAAGAUUUAAUGUAUGAGUUUUGAUUUCUAUCAAAAUGCAAUAUAAUGGUAGACUAUUAGCAUGCUAUUGUCUGCACAUAGAGCUUUAGUAGUGCGACCCGAAAGAUGGUGAACUAUGCUAGUGCAAAGUGAAKUCAGAAGAAAUUCUGAUGGAAGCUUGAAGCGGUCCUGACGUGCAAAUCGGUCGUCUGACAUUGGUAUAGGGGCGAAAGACUAAUCGAACCAUCUA